GAUGAACGCUGGCGGCGUGCCUAAUACAUGCAAGUCGAGCGAACAGACGAGGAGCUUGCUCCUCUGACGUUAGCGGCGGACGGGUGAGUAACACGUGGAUAACCUACCUAUAAGACUGGGAUAACUUCGGGAAACCGGCGCUAAUACCGGAUAAUAUAUUGAACCGUAUGGUUCAAUAGUGAAAGACGGUUUUGCUGUCACUUAUAGAUGGAUCCGCGCUGCAUUAGCUAGUUGGUAAGGUAACGGCUUACCAAGGCAACGAUGCGUAGCCGACCUGAGAGGGUGAUCGGCCACACUGGAACUGAGACACGGUCCAGACUCCUACGGGAGGCAGCAGUAGGGAAUCUUCCGCAAUGGGCGAGAGCUUGACGGAGCAACGCCGAGUGAGUGAUGAAGGUCUUCGGAUCGUAAAACUCUGUUAUUAGGGAAGAACAAAUGUGUAAGUAACUAUGCACGUCUUGACGGUACCUAAUCAGAAAGCCACGGCUAACUACGUG
rnacentral:rRNA from 1 species